UCGGAAUUCACUCGCCUAAAGGUUAUGACAAAACCUUAGAGUAUCAAGGAAACUCUUAAGAACCUCUUUAAACUUUAAGGCUAUUUCGCUUAGGAACCAGUCUUUUACGGGUAGACUCACACCUUAGAGUAUCAAGGGCACUCUUAAGAACCUCUAACUUUUGCAGGUAAGUUAGUACUUUAGAGUAUCAAGGAACUCUUAAAAACCUUUCUAAGCUUUAAGGCUACUUCACUUAGGAACCAGUCUUUUACGGGUAGACUCACACCUUAAAGUAUCAAGGGCACUCUUAAGAACCUCUAACUUUUACGGAUAAAUUAGUACCUUAGAGUAUCAAGGAACUCUUAAAAACCUAGAAAUCUUUCAAGGUAGAUUCGACCUAAGAGUUUUCCCGGAAACUCUAUAAAACCAAACUAGAGUUUUAUGGUUGAGCUCGAAAACCUUCUCUCACACUUUGGUACUAUUGAGACAACCCUCUCAACCAAAGUGGACACACACAAGAAGUGAUUAGAGGGGUGGAAUAUUAAAGCAAACAACACUUCUUACUUGUAAAGAUGAACAAGAAGAUUAGAAGAAGAAGUUGGAGAGCUUUUGAAGCUUUGGAAAGCUAGGACACUUGAGCACUUGAAAGCUUGGAAGCUUGGAGGCAAAAACGUGUGGGCAAGUGUGGAGUGAAAGCUCUUGAGUUUGCUUGUAGUCAUGUGGUGAGUGAAAAUGAGGGGAUUACCCUUCUAUUUAUAGCCUUGGCCACUCAAUGUCCACCCUUGGAUCUUCAAUGGAUGACUCCUUGAUUUCUCACAAAAAUCCAAGCUUUGUCUUUGAUCUUAUCUUGAAUAGUGCUUUUCUUCGAUAGAGUUUGUUGGAGAAUCUUAUCUUUGUAUAAAUUCAAACUUGAAUAGUGUUUUGUCCCCUUGAAAUAUUAUACCUUGAAUAAAGUGUCAAAAGAUAACAAUAAUAAUAUUCAAGGUAAAAAUGCAAUUAUUCCAAAUAAUAAUAUUCAAGGUAAAAAUACAAUUCUCCCAAUUUGACUUUUAACUUUGACUUAAACCCUUAACUCAAACGAUUAAUUAAUUAACUGGAGUUAGGUUGAAUAUCGAUUGACUUAUUUAACCCCUAUUGAUUAAUAGUGUAAUUAGGGUUUAAAUUGACAUGAUUAAAAUAUAAUCCUAUGUCGACAAUUUUGAUUCUACAUUCUCCCCCUUUGUCGAUGGCAUAUAUGUUUUAAUUCAUGUCUAGUCAAUAUUCUAUUUUACCCUUAUGAGCAUGCUCCCCCUGAAUUAUUGACCCAUAAUAUUCAAUUUAAAAGCAGUGGAUCAUGCAUGAUUUCUCCCCCUUAAAACAAUAAGGUAUCGACAAAGUUAAAAAUAGAUACCUAUGAAGUAUCUCCCCCUUAAUGAUAGGACAUAUCUAAUUUGUGGAGAAAAUAAAAUUUCAUACCUCAUUGAGCUUUAAUCACAAAUUCGAUUUGUGUGGUCGACCAAAUGUGACGUCUUGCUUAUAAGAGUGUUAGUCAAUCAUAAAGGAGAAAUAACAUGUAAUUUAUGCUCAUUGAUAAAAUAUUGGAUUGAAGCCAAUUUUGAUAUACAUUAUAAGGCANNNNNNNNNNNNNNNNNNNNNNNNNNNNNNNNNNNNNNNNNNNNNNNNNNNNNNNNNNNNNNNNNNNNNNNNNNNNNNNNNNNNNNNNNNNNNNNNNNNNCAAUGAAUAAUAAUCCAUGUGUGUGUUAUGGAUGAAGAUGAUCUUAAUAUGUAUGGAUUAACGAUUUUAUAAUGUUAUAAUCCAUAAGAUAUUAGUGAAUGAUAUGUAUAAAUCUAUAAUAUUCACUAAUUGCUUUAAGGAGAAAUUGAGCAUUUAAAAUUUUAAAAUCUAUGUCUUAGUGACAAAUAUAAUCAUGUAAAUAUUCACUAAGUUUUAAAAGAUUUAAAAUUUUCAUUUCAGUCCUUAAAGCCUUAGUAGUAAAACUUCACUUAAAACAAAAUUUCAUUUAAGCCCUUUGAAGUUAUAAUAAAUACUUAGAUUAAUACUUGAAAUAUUUCAUUUAAACCUUGGAAGUAUUAACUAAUUCUAAGCACUUUUCAAUUUGAAAACUUCAUGUAAAUAUUAAUUUUAAGUCCCUGAAGUUUUAACUAAAUAUUCACUGUAAUGAUAUCCUUUGAACCCUUAAUGAAAAACUUCAUAGAUAAUUUAAUCCCUUUGAAGUUAUAAUGAAUACUUAGAUUAAUACUUAAAAAAUUUCAUUUUAAACCUUGGAAGUAUUAAAUAUUUCUAAGUAAUUUUUUGAUUAAAGCUUCAUGUAAAUAUUGAUUCUAAGUCCCUCAAUUUAUAUUCACUGUAAAGUUAUCAUUUUGACCCUUAAGUUUUAGUGAAUCUUAAAAACUUCAUAAACGAUUUACGUUUAAGUCCUUGAAGUUUCACAAAACUUUAUAUUCACUGAAAAAUAUAACUUUAAUCCUUAAGUUUUCAGUGAAUCAUUUUAAACUUAGAAACUUCAAACGAUUUUCGUUUAAGUCUUUGAAGUUUCAUAAAAUUUUAUAUUCACUGAAAAAUAUAACUUUAAUCCUUAAGUUUUCAGUGAAUCAUUUUAAACUUCAAAAAUAGUUUAUGUUUAAGCCCUUGAAGUUUUAAAGUUUAAGACUUUGAAAAGUCGAUUAAUACUUCAAAAGAAUUUUAUUUUUAUACCUUGAAGUAUUAGCUAAAAAUCCAUGCAGCCCUUAAAUAUUUGAUUUUUUGUUAAGUUUGUUUAUUUUCUUACAUGCAUACCCUUAUAAUAAGCUUCUAUAGUUCUAUGUGUUACUUGCAAAUGAUAUUUCAUUUAACUUCAAAUAAAACACAUAACACAGGAGAGUAGCAUGUGGUUCAAUCUCAAGUACAUGAGAUCAAGAUCCAUGGCUGGAUCUUCAAAAUAUAACAAAAUACAAGUACUCAAAACAUCAAACUACUUCUUAGGGCAGAUUCAGUUUAGUCAUGGUGGUGCAUGGUUGGAAUGACCUUGGAGCUAAACUCGUGAAAUAGGUUUGCAAGCUCCAGGUUGUAUUCUCUCUCAACAUCUAGCUGUUGCCUUGUUAUAGAUACCAUCUCUUCCAGAUCUCCCAUUCCUUUCUCCAGCAUCCUUACUUGAUGUCGAAUCCUUAUGAUUUCCUCAUUCAAAAACACAUUGGUGUCUUGUGAGUUUGGAUCAUAAGUAUUCUUCCAAGUCUUUUGGAAGGAGCUUGCAGUAAAUGGUUGGAUGUGAACUAUUAGUGGAUUGGGAGAGAGACAGAUUUCAAAGUACUCUGGACCGAGGAUUUUGGAGAGCAUCCUUGGGUAGUGACGUGCUCCAGUACUCCUUGUUGAUGUUGUCAUGUUAUGCAUGAUUAGGGAUGUCCAGUUUACCCUGAUCUUUGACAGUAAACAAUAGAUUGCUACUAAGACCAAUGUGGAUGGUUCUUCUUUAUCGUCAGCUUGAGGAUAAAUGUUGCACAGGAUUACUUUGAGGAAGAUGGAGGCUUCUGGUAUGAGCAUUGAUUUCAAGAUUUUUUCAGUGCUUCUAGGGUUAUACCUAUGAGUAAGAGUGUUCCAGAGAAUCUCCCAAUCGCACUUGAAGGGUAGCUCUCUAAGAUUUUUAUAAUUUUGAAUCUUUACUCCAUCAUUUGGUAGGUUAAUCCAUGUACUCAGUUUAUCAGCUUCGAGAAUCAGACAUAUUCCAUUCACCAUGGUUGUAAUCCUUUGUAUGCCUAUAGUGUUAUACUUGAGAUUGGCAUAGAACUGAGCCAGCUCUGAUUUGUAGAUCCUGAGUUGUCCGAUGUUCUCAAGAUAAUCAGAAAGUCUGUUAAAACUUAACAGGCCUUCGAUCACUUUGCAGUUGAGAGAUCUGAGCAGGACUGGUUCUUCAAAGAUCAUCCUUUGCUCGAGAAUGAGGUUGUAAGAUAACCUUGCCGUCGGAGAGAUCCACAUUGGUGAACCCUGGAAUAUUUCUGCCUUUGGAAUUCUUCUGGUGCGCUUUUUCCGUAUGGGAUUGCUACUGGAAGGGUUUGGAUGGUACACCGGACUUGAAGGGCAGUUAGGUGUGAUGAUAAGUUCCUCCUUAGGCUGUAGCAUAUUGAUUUCUUGAAUCAACAUGUUUGAGACAGAAUGAAUUUUAAGAUGGAAGAAGAUGAUAAGAUUUGUUUCUCUUCCUAUGCUUAUAUAGUGAUUUGAUUCACCUUAAGCUUAUCUAAAUGAUCUGUCCAGAUUCUUCAUGUACUGACAUUACUUGUGGAGUAACUAGUAAUGAUGAAGACAUCUUUAAGUCAUGUCUAACUUUGGAAGGUUAGCAACUUUAGGGUUUGAUUUUCUAAACACUACUUGGUGAAUCUUGAAAAGAUUCAUCCAGAUGUUUUAACAUUUCUUAGACAGAAAUUUUACCUUUUUAGAUGUCAAUCAGCUCUGAAUUUAGAUAUGUUCAGAUUUUCAAUUAGCUGACAUUGCUUGUAAAGCUUUUACAAGUGAGAUUAACUUUGGGUCAUGUCUAACUUGAACAGUUAGCAACUUUUAGGGUUUGUUUUUCAAUGAAUCAAACAACCCUACUUGGUGAAUUUGGACAGAUUUGUCUUAAUUCAACUCUUGUCAUUUCAGAUGUUUACACGAUCUGAAUUGAUUUUCUAUAUUUAUUUAAACAUACCUUUUGCAGUAAUCGACGCACUCCUUGCUUCAUCCACGAUAAUUCAUGCUUCAUUUUUCUACUUUUGCAGGCAGCGAUUGAUGUACUCGUGCAGUGUUGUAGCAGGAUUUCCUUUUUCCAGAUCUUCUUGAAGGGUUCUUGCACUGUGCAAGCCACACACCGGGUAUGGUGUCGAGAAUGACUGAUUGACUUGGCUGUGAUCUGUGGCUGGAUUUGUAAUGCUGACAAGAACUUUCAUUUCUCCAAUGUCGAGAUUUCUUGCUUGGUUUCAAGAUAAAAAGAGUUUGGUUUACCAAGAUCUGACAAUUGGCAUGUUUGCACAUUCCACCUGUACUUAUAAUAGAUAUAUAGAUUUGGAUAUUUCAUGUGAAUUUGAAUUUCAUUGUUAAUUUUGUAGUGACAUGGCAUGUUAGUUAAAUAGAUUUAAGCAUAAAUCAAGGAGUCCAUGUAUUAGUUAAGUGUCACACAUGUAACUUGAAGUUUUGCAUGUACGUAUUUUAAAUUUCAUAGACUUAUUUUGCAUGCAUACGAUUGUAACAUAUAUUUAUCAGAUGACUCUAAACAUGCAGAUGAUUAGUAAAACGUGACUCAGAUAUGUAUAGGAUUAGUUUCAUAAAUGGUUAUGAGUCAACGACUUUAGUAAGAAAAGGCUUAUGCUUAUGAUUGCAUGUCAUAUAGUUCAUUAACUUGCAUUAAAAAGAUAGUUCAUAACAUUAUUCAAAGAUAAUCAAGUGAUUGGUGAUAUAGGAUUAAUCUUAUAAUUUUCUCAAUUAUGUAUGUGAUGACAUGAAAUAUGUAUGAGUUAAAUAGUUAUACACGUAAGUCAAAUCCCGUUGUUUGACCAUCAUGUAUUUAAGUAUUUCAUAUCAUCAUGCAUGCAUAUGAUUCAUUUACUUAUAGAUUCAUAGAUAAGUAUUAACAUGCAUUUAUAAGAUAGUCAUAUAUGCAUUUAGAUUUUCAUUUUACUAUGUCUAUUAAGCUAUGUGUGUUCAUCUCCAAUGAUUUGUUUUAUAAGGUGUAGGUUUCUAAGAUUCAUACUAGAUGGAANNNNNNNNNNNNNNNNNNNNNNNNNNNNNNNNNNNNNNNNNNNNNNNNNNNNNNNNNNNNNNNNNNNNNNNNNNNNNNNNNNNNNNNNNNNNNNNNNNNNUGAGGUAAUUGUUGAGUGAUUUCAAUUCCUUCUUUGAGAUGGAUUUAUCAAAGUCAACAUGUAGGGAUUCUAUCAAUAUUUGUCUUUUCUCAUAAGCUAUUUUAGGCAAUCUAGUUACUAAUUCUUCUUUAGAUACUUUAGAUAAUUUAGCAUAACUGGUGUGACCUAAAUGUCUAUGCCAUAAGAUCUUUUCAUCACUUGCAGCAAGUAUGCAGAAGUCAUGAGUUGAUUUAGACUUAUCAAAGUUUAUAGAAUAAGCAUUGCUUUUUCUAUAUACUUUGGCAAUAGUAACUCCCUCAGAGUUAAUGAUCAAACAAUUAUAUUUUUCAAAUUUUACUACACAACCUGAUUAGCAUAAGUCAAUUUGGUUGUGUUUAAGACCAUUUACUAAAUACCCAUUUCUUAAGAAUGGUUUUUCUAUAUUUCCUACAUUACCCCUACCUACUAUUUUACCUUUGUUGUUAUCGGCGAACUUGACCUUUUUAGUAGUAGGUAAGUGAUGGGGGUGAAACCCGACCAGUACUCCAAGACGCGCAAGCAAGCACCAAGCGGGGAACUCCGCGGGAAACCGGACCGGAACUCAAGUGUGCAGAGCUCUGCUUCGCUAGGAAUUCCUCUUCUCCAAAUGACCUGCCUUUAAUGAGUGGGGGGUGCCCUCUAUUUAUAGGGGUUCUUAUGGGGGCAAUAUGGUCAUUUGGGCAGUAACCGCCUAACUGCCCAACUGAUCAGAUUGGGUCCAGGGGUCGACUUUCCAGAGAUCGACUUUCUGGGGGUCGACUUUUCCUGGUGAUCGACUUUACUUAAAAGUCGAUGCCAGGGAAGUCGAUCCUCAGGAAAGUCGAUCUUCCUAGGAUUCGACCUGGGACCUCCCCAACCCUAGAAUAGAUACCUCAACUCAUCUUAGGCUAUCCGGACUUCUAGUUGCUGGUAGGUUGUGACCAUGUUCGGGAUACUGUAUCACCAGUACUCCCCCCUCCUCUGCGUAUUAGAUACUUUGGGAUACGUCUUUUAGUACUAUGGUCUGCGUGUCGGACCCUGUACUAUCAGUAAGUCUAUCUAGUUUGUUAGUAGACUUGAUUCCCCAGUCAUGUGCCUUGUGCAUCCACUGUCGAGCGUCCAUUUUGACACUUGUUUUUCCUGAAAGAGUUAAAAAAUUCUUUGGUACCCAUACUGAGUUGGGUCCGGAUGGAUUAGUAUACCUAAUUUGCGUAUAAUUUCUUAGCUCAUCCUUAGUCAUCCAUCUUUGUUUUGGAUGAUUCAUCUUAGAGUGAUUUUUCUUUUUCUUAAGAUGAAUGGGUUUUAUAUAGCUAGAUUCCCUUAUAAAAUAAUCAUUAUAAAUUGAGGCAUGUAAGGGUUUUUUAAUAGGUGUAUCUGAUUCAAACCCUAAGCCAAAUUUCUUUUGACCCAAGUUUGAACCUUGUAAUAUAUUAUUUAACUUGGAUGAACUAUUGAAGAAUUUUUGAAGAACACUAUUUUUCUCAUUUAUUCUUUCAGUUUGUAAUUGCAUGCUGUUAUGUUUUUCAGAUAAUUUUUGUAGAGUUUCUUCAUGCUCAAGUAUGAGUUUAUCCUUAGAUUCUAUUUCAGUUUUAAGCAUGAUUGUUUCUUUUUCUUUAUUUCUAAUGAUUUCCUCAAAAUUAUCUAUUUUUAAUUCUAACAAUUCAACCCUAUCAUUAUUUAUUUCAUUAGGUUGAUUUUCUUCAGAUUCUAGAAUAUCGAGUAAUUCAAAAUUUUGACUCUUAAGUGUUUUAAUUUUUUCAUCUCCUUUUUUUAUUUUACUUGAGAGUUUAUGAUUUUCUUCUUUUAAUAACAUGCAUUCUUUUUGUGAUUCUUCUAAUUCUAUUGAAUGAUCAAUAUGUGAUUUAUUCAUGCAUUCUAGUCUUAAUGAUUUACUUAAUUUUUUCUCAGCUUUAUAUUUAUCCAUUAAUUCUAGAAAUGCUUCUUCUAAUGAAUUAAAUCUAGUAUUUGUAAAGUUUACCUCAGAGUCGUUCUCGUGAGCCAUGAGGCAGUCUUCUUGGUCUGACUCAGAAUCUGACCAGUGUACUUGAUGCGCUUUUUCUUUCUUUAGUAGAGGACAUUCAGGUCUGAUGUGUCCAGAUUUGUCGCACAAGUAGCAGAUGGGCUCCUUUGAGUCUUUGUGGUUUUUACUCACUUUUCUGUCGGAAUUCUGAUAGUCUAUCCUUGAAUUUCUCUUUUCUUUCCUUUUUAUGAGAUAUCUCUUUAAAUGAUUUGUGAGCAUUGCCAAGUCAUCAUCAGAUGAUUCAUUAUCGCUUUGACUUUUGAGAGCAAUGUCCUUUUUCUCCUCUUUUGCUAUAGAGAUAAAUCUUUCUUCUUCAUAGGCCAUCAGAUUUCCGCAAAGUUCUACCACUGUGAGUUUGUUCAGAUCAUGAGAUUCUUGGAUAGCAUUCCUCUUUGAGUAGUAUUUGUUUGGAAGGCUUCUUAGAAUCUUGCUCACUUGCUUUUUCUCAGUUACUGGAUCCCCUAGUCCAGCCAGAUCAUUGACUAUUUGUGAUAGUCGAAUGUUCAUUUCUGCGAUAGUCUCAUCUUCCCUCAUAGAGAAUCUUUCGAAUUGAGAAGUGGCAUGUAGUAGCUUAUUUUCCUUGACGUGGGAGGUUCCUUCAUGUAAAUCCUCCAAAGCUUUCCAUACCUUGUGAGUUGUAUCCAAGCAUCGAAUUCUGCUGUACUCAGAUUCAUUGAGAGCGCCAUAUAGUGCAUUCAAUGCUCUUGAGUUGUUGUUUUCCUUGAGGAUAUCCAUUGCUCCCCAAGUCUCUUCUUUGCUUGUUGGAAUCUCAUAAUCUUCCAAUAUGAUUUUCCAGACUCCAUUGUUGAUUGACUUUAAGUAUAACUUCAUCUUGUUCUUCCACAUGGGAGGUUUGUUCGAUGCAAGACCAGUACUGUUUUCACCAUUUGAAGCCAUAGUUGUUGUUGUAAGAUGUUAGUCUGAUUUCAACGGAACUUGGCUCUGAUACCACUUGUUGGAUCGUGAUCCGAGGCUAUAAGGGGGGAUGAUAGCCUCUUUUCGAUUUAUACAGAUUGAUUGCGGAAUUACCUGUAAAUGCUUAAUAAACAAAUAGUUGAACAGUAAUGAUAUAAGGAUAUUAUGAUUUUGAUUGAUAUAAUAAUGUAAGUAUUACUCUUCGAAGCUUACUACAGUAUAUGAAUACUGAGUCAACUUGCUUGAUAAUGUUUCACACACAACUAUAGUAUAUGAAUACUAAGUUAUAUUGGAAACACAAAUUGUAUUGUAGAGUAAAUGACCAGAUAACUGGAUAUAUUGAUACGCAAGUAAAUGACCAGAUAACUGGAUAUAUUGACAAACAAGUAAGUGACCAGAUGAUUGGAUAAGUUGAUAAACAAGUAAGUGACCAAAUAACUGGAUAAAUAUGAUAAGUAAUACUUGAACAAAUAUAAGGAUUUAAAGCAAUGAAUAUAACCUCAGAUAGUUGACCAGAUAACUGGAUGAGGGAUCUGCGUAAAGUAGUCAACCUCUGUGUUUGACCAGAUAACUGGAAGAGGGAUCUUUUUAAUUAAGUGUUGUUUUUUAAGUAAAAGAUAGAACUAUAAUUAACAGAGAACAACACAAGAGAUUUAUACUGGUUCACCCAAACAAGGGCUAGUCCAGUCCCGACCAACUGCCGGAAUUCACUCGCCUAAAGGUAAUGGCAAAACCUUAGAGUAUCAAGGAAACUCUUAAAAACCUCUCUAAGCUUUAAGGCUACUUCGCUUAGGAACCAGUCUUUUACGGGUAGACUCACACCUUAGAGUAUCAAGGGCACUCUUAAAAACCUCUAACUUUUACGGGUAAGUUAGUACCUUAGAGUAUCAAGGAACGCUUAGGAACCAGUCUUUUAUGGGUAGACUCACACCUUAGAGUAUCAAGGGCACUUUUAAGAACCUCUAACUUUUACGGGUAAGUUAGUACCUUAGAGUAUCAAGGAACUCUUAAAAACCUCUGAAAUCUUUAAAGGUAGACUCAACCUAAGAGUUUUCCCGGAAACUCUAUAAAACCAAACUAGAGCUUUAUGGUUGAGCUCACAAACCUUCUCUCACACUUUGGUACUAUUGAGACAACCCUCUCAACCAAAGUGGACACACACAAGAGGUGAUUAGAGGAGUGGAAUAUUAAAGCAAACAACACUUCUUACUUGUAAAGAUGAACAAGAAGAUUAGAAGAAGAAGUUGGAGAGCUUUUGAAGCUUUGGAAAGCUAGGACACUUGAGCACUUGAAAGCUUGGAAGCUUGGAGGCAAAAACGUGUGGGCAAGUGUGGAGUGAAAGCUCUUGAGUUUGCUUGUAGUGUGGUGAGUGAAAAUGAGGGGAUUACCCUUCUAUUUAUAGCCUUGGCCACUCAAUGUCCACCCUUGGAUCUUCAAUGGAUGGCUCCUUGAUUUCUCACAAAAAUCCAAACUUUGUCUUUGAUCUUAUCUUGAAUAGUGUUUUUCUUGGAUAGAGUUUGUUGGAGAAUCUUAUCUUUGUAUAAAUUCAAACUUGAAUAGUGUUUUGUCCCCUUGGAAUAUUAUACCUUGAAUAGAGUGUCAAAAGAUAAUAAUAAUAAUAUUCAAGGUAAAAAUGCAAUUAUUCCAAAUAAUAAUAUUCAAGGUGAAAAUG
rnacentral:lncRNA from 1 species